rnacentral:rRNA from 1 species
GAUGAACGCUGGCGGCGUGCCUAAUACAUGCAAGUCGAGCGAAUGGAUUAAGAGCUUGCUCUUAUGAAGUUAGCGGCGGACGGGUGAGUACCACGUGGGUAACCUGCCCAUAAGACUGGGAUAACUCCGGGAAACCGGGGCUAAUACCGGAUAACAUUUUGAACCGCAUGGUUCGAAAUUGAAAGGCGGCUUCGGCUGUCACUUAUGGAUGGACCCGCAGCGCAUUAGCUAGUUGCUGAGGUAACGGCUCACCAAGGCAACGAGUCGUAGCCGGCCUGAGAGGGUGAUCGGCCACACUGGGACUGAGACACGGCCCAGACUCCUACGGGAGGCAGCAGUAGGGAAUCUUCCGCAAUGGACGAAAGUCUGACGGAGCAACGCCGCGUGAGUGAUGAAGGCUUUCGGGUCGUAAAACUCUGUUGUUAGGGAAGAACAAGUGCUAGUUGAAUAAGCUGGCACCUUGACGGUACCUAACCAGAAAGCCACGGCUAACUACGUGCCAGCCGCCGCCGUAA